GAGUUCGAUAUUGGCUCAGGAUGAACGCUUGCAGCAUGCUUAACACAUGCAAGUCGGACGGGAAGUGGUGUUUCCAGUGGCAGGCGGGUGAGUAACACGUAAGAACCUGCCCUUGGGAGGGGAACAACAACUGGAAACGGCUGCUAAUACCCUGUAGAUUGAGGAGAAAAUGGAGGAAUCCACCCAAGGAGGGGCGCGCGUCUGAUUAGCUAGUUGGUGAGGCAAUAGCUUACCAAGGCGAUGAUCAGUAGCUGGUCCGAGAGGAUGAUCAGCCACACUGGGACUGAGACACGACCUAGAAUCCUAAGGGAGGCAGCAGUGGGGAAUUUCCGCAAUGGGCGAAAGCCUGACGGCAAUGUCAUGUGGAGGUAGAAGGCUCAUGGGUCGUGAACUUCUUUUCCCCGAGAAGAAACAAUGACGGUAUCCGAGGAAUAACAGGGUAAUUGAAUGAGAAUGGAUAAGAGGCUCGUGGGAUUGAUGUGAGAGGGUAGCGGUGGCU
rnacentral:ncRNA from 1 species